UACAGAGGUCCCAAGCGUUGUUCGGAUUCACUGGGCGUAAAGGGUGCGUAGGUGGCUUGGUAAGUUUGAUGUGAAAUCUCCGGGCUUAACCCGGAAAUGGCAUUGAAUACUAUUGAGCUGGAGGUUUGGAGGGGGGACUGGAAUUCUCGGUGUAGCAGUGAAAUGCGUAGAUAUCGAGAGGAACACCAGUGGCGAAGGCGGGUCUCUGGGCCGAUACUGACGCUGAGGAGCGAAAGCGUGGGGAGCGAACAGG
rnacentral:rRNA from 1 species